ensembl:lincRNA
CCUCCCUUUCGGACACACACAUUAAAGAAGACUUCCGGAACUACUUCAGAAAGUGUUGCUGUCUUACUGUUUAUUCCUUGGAGUUGGCGCAGAUCGAAGUUAGAGUAACAACAAAAGCUCCUUUCACCUUCCAUCUCCUGACAUAUGGUGUCACCCUCAUAUGGCAGACCCUGGAGGAUAUCAUAUAUCACAGAAAACCUACUACCCUGCUGACCCUUAGAGAAGAAAUUGAAAAUGCAGGUGCAGCCCAAGGUUAACCAAGCAGCAGUAUGCCAUACUAAUGAACGUCUGGAAGCUCGUGGCCACACUUUGAGUGCCUCUUGUAAUUGUAGAGGCCAAAGGUAACUUGUAUUA